GGAGAGGCAGACUUGAAGGAAGGCGGACACUUUCCGGAGGAAAAAACUGACUCCUGCAGCCUUUAAAGUGGCCCCUCACCUACAUGCCGCCCCAGUGCCUGUGUGUUAUGGCGAGAACUCAGUGCCAGAUUCUUCCAGGAGCAGACGGGGUUUCCUUACAUCUUCCCCGACCAGAUUCCCAGCCACCACGGCUCUGUAAAGAGGAGGGGGCUGGUGACUGUGCCCGUCCCACGUCCCAUGCUCUACUGGUCCCCCUGCUGAAGCGUUUGCUAGCACUCCAAGAGGAGCUGCACAGUGGACAGUGCAUUUCUUUUUAAA